AAAAACCAAUUCGAGGUGUUGAGCUCCCUGAUCGAUAUCUCCGGUACUAGCAAUGCCAGGAGAAUUUAGAGUGCUGCAUUUGGUCAGACCCUUUCUUCUGUUUCUACCGGAGGUUGAAACUCCUAACAAGAAAGGUCCCGUUGUCUGAGAAGUUGGUAUAUUCCUUGUCUGCCCUAGGCAUCUUUCUUGUGUGUAGUCAGCUUCCCCUGUAUGGAAUACACUCUACAACUGGUGCAGAUCCAUUUUAUUGGAUGCGUGUUAUUAUGGCAUCUAGCCGCGGGACUGUAAUGGAGCUUGGUAUUAGCUCUAUUGUGACAUCUGGAAUGGUGAUGCAACUCUUGGUUGGUUCAAAGACGAUUAAAGUGGACAACAGCUUCCGUGAGGAUCGCGCAUUAUUAAAUGGAGCACAAAAGCUGCUCGGAAUCCUCAUUGCUGUUGGUCAAGCUGUUACCUAUGUCCUAACAGGAAUGUAUGGUCCUGUUGGUCAGCUUGGUGUUGGGAAUGCCAUUCUUAUCAUAAGUCAACUUUGCAUUGUGAUGUGCCUAGAUGAACUUCUUCAGAAGGGAUAUGGUCUCGGAUCAGGGAUCUCUCUUUUCAUUGCUACCAACAUCUGUGAAAACAUCAUUUGGAAGGCUUUUAGUCCCAUAACUAUAAACAAUGGCCGUGGACCUCAAUUUGAAGGUGCCCUUCUUGCUUUGGUCCAUCUCCUAAUAACAAGGACAGACAAAGUACGAGCUCUUCGAGAGGCUUUCUAUCGACGGGACCUACCAAAUGUUACAAAUUUGCUGGCUACAGUCUUGAUCUUUCUUAUUGUCAUCUACUUCCAAGGCUUUCGUGUGGAAUUAUCAGUGGGAUCAAAGGUUAACCGGGAACAACAGAGGUCCUAUCCUAUUAAGCUUUUAUACACCUCUAACAUGCCAAUCAUUCUCCAAUCUGCUCUUGUCUUCAACCUUUCCUUUUGCUCCCAGUUACUUUACAAGAUGUACGGUGGGAAUUUCUUGGUAAACUUGUUGGGGAAGUGGAAGGAGUCUGGAUAUUCUAGUGGCCAGUUGAUUCCAGUUGGUGGUCUUGCUUACUGUAACACUCCACCAUCAAGCCUGGCAAGUAUGGCAGCCGAUCCGUUCCAUUCUCUAUUUUAUCUAGUGUUUAUGCUUGCAACCUGUGCACUUUUAUCAAAAGCUUGGAUUCAAGUUUCUGGUUCUUCCGCCCGAGAUGUAGCUAAGCAGCUCAAGGACCAAAACAUGGUGAUGCGCGGACAUAGGGAAUCAAACUUGGAGAAGGAACUUAAUCGCUACAUACCAACUGCAGCUGCAUUCGGAGGAAUGUGCAUUGGUGCCUUGACUGUUCUCGCAGAUUUCAUGGGAGCAAUUGGCUCAGGAACUGGGAUAUUACUUGCAGUUACAAUCAUAUAUCAGUACAUUGAGACAUAUGAAAAAGAGCGCGGCAGUGAACUUGGUCUUUUCCGCCGUUAA